rnacentral:lncRNA from 1 species
CUCUCUCUCUCCCGGAAGGGGGUUGGCAUCUCUUCAUAGCUUUCCUGCGGGUAUAGCCUAAUUGCGAUGAGGCCGACGUCGAGGGCGCAACAUAUUUCGUGGUCAAAUACGAACGUCUGGUUGAGAGCGCUUUUGAUCCGUUGUUUCAAUUUCUGGUCUUUUCAUACAGUCGUUUGGAUUUUGUUGUUCCGUUGCACUUUUGAUAUUUUCAUUUGGGCUCUCCUGUCUGGGUUUUGGAGCCAAACCAGUUUGGGGCUGGCUUCGCAUCGGAUCUGGGCAUGUGAUUUUUCACGAAUUUUGAAUUGUUCGCUGUAUAAUAAUUUUUUCGUGUUUGCGUGUCUCCACG